rnacentral:rRNA from 1 species
GACGAACGCUGGCGGCGUGCUUAACACAUGCAAGUCGAACGAUGAAGCACCAGCUUUCUGGUGUGGAUUAUUGGCGAACGGGUGAGUAACACGUGAGUAACCUGCCCCUCACUCUGGGAUAAGCCUUGGAAACUGGGUCUAAUACUGGAUACGACCUAUCUCCGCAUGGAGUGUUGGUGGAAAGUUUUUGUGGUGGGGGAUGGACUCGCGGCCUCUCAGCUUGUUGGUGGGGUAAUGGCCUACCACGGCGACGACGGGUAGCCGGCCUGAGAGGGCGACCGGCCACAAUGGGACUGAGACACGGCCCAGAAUCCUACGGGAGGCAGCAGUGGGGAAUAUUGCACAAUGGGCGAAAGCCUGAUGCAGCGACGCCGCGUGAGGGAUGAUGGCCUACGGGUUGUAAACAUAUUUGUCCGGGACCGAACAUAACGUGACGGUACCUGAAGAAGAAGCAACGGCUAACUACGUG